CGCGUUAUAGUUUAAUAAAAUAGUAGAGUGCAAAUCUACAGUUGGGGGAACCCUAACGCAAA
rnacentral:tRNA from 1 species